CACAAGCGGUGGAGCAUGUGGUUAAUUCGACGCAACGCGAAGAACCUUACCAGGGCUUGACAUCCCCUGACCGCGUAUGAAAGUACGUUUUCACCCUCGGGUGACAGGGAGACAGGUGGUGCAUGGUUGUCGUCAGCUCGUGUCGUGAGGUGUUGGGUUAAGUCCCGCAACGAGCGCAACCCCUACGUUUAGUUGCUAACGCGUGAAGGCGAGCACUCUAGACGAACUGCCGUUGACAAAACGGAGGAAGGUGGGGAUGACAUCAAAUCAUCAUGCCCCUUAUGUUCUGGGCUACACACGUGCUACAAUGGCCGGUACAGACGGACGCAAAGCCGCGAGGUGGAGCAAAUCCUAAAAAGCCGGUCUCAGUUCGGAUUGCAGGCUGCAAUUCGCCUGCAUGAAGUCGGAAUCGCUAGUAAUCGCAGGUCAGCAUACUGCGGUGAAUACGUUCCCGGGCCUU
rnacentral:rRNA from 1 species